GAUGAACGCUGGCGGCGUGCUUAAGACAUGCAAGUCGAACGGAGUGUGUAGCAAUACUCACUAAGUGGCGAAUGGGUGAGUAACACGUAGGUGACCUGCCCUGAAGUGCGGAAUAACAGUCCGAAAGGAUUGCUAAUACCGCAUGUGGUCCCGGGCGUUAGAGAACCGGUCUAAAGCAGUAAUGCGCUUCAGGAGGGGCCUGCGGUCCAUCAGCUAGUUGGUAGGGAAUGGCCUACCAAGGCAACGACGGAUAGGGGACCUGAGAGGGUGGGCCCCC
rnacentral:rRNA from 1 species